AGGGCACCACCAGGAGUGGAGCCUGCGGCUUAAUUUGACUCAACACGGGAAAACUCACCCGGCCCGGACACCGUAAGGAUUGACAGACUGAGAGCUCUUUCUUAAUUCGGUGGGUGGUGGUGCAUGGCCGUUCUUAGUUGGUGGAGCGAUUUGUCUGGUUAAUUCCGAUAACGAACGAGACUCUGGCCUACUAAAUAGACGGUAUAUCCGAAAGUAUACCGCGCUUCUUAGAGGGACAAGCGGCGUCUAGCCGCAUGAAAUAGAGCAAUAACAGGUCUGUGAUGCCCUUAGAUGUCCUGGGCUGCACGCGCGCUACACUGAAAGAAUCAGUGUGCGAUGCACCUGGUCCGGAAGGACUGGGUAACCCAAGUAAAUUCUUUCGUGCUUGGGAUAGGGAAUUGCAAUUAUUUCCCUUAAACGAGGAAUUCCCAGUAAAUGCGGGUCAUAAGCUCGCGUUGAUUACGUCCCUGCCCUUUGUACACACCGCCCGUCGCUACUACCGAUUGGAUGACUUAGUGA
rnacentral:rRNA from 1 species